ensembl:lncRNA
GGGUCACAGGGAUGGGAUUUCCGAGCAUUGGGGUCCCUGGGACCCGCACGGGGCUGGCAGCGGGGUCGGGCUGGCGCCGUGUUCCUGUGUGUGACACACCUGGCUCUGUGGGGUCACACCUGGCUCUGUGGGGUCACACCUGGCUCUGUGGGGUCACACAUGGCUCUGUGGGGUCACAGGGUGGCUCUGUGGGUCACAGGGUGGCUCUGUGGGGUCACACCUGGCUCUGUGUGACACACCUGGCUCUGUGGGGUCACAGGGAUGGGAUUUCCGAGCACUGGGGUCCCGGGGUCCCACGCGGGGCUGGCAGCGCGGUGGCGCUGGCGCCGUGUCCCCGCGUGUGUGACAGACUGUGAAAUGGGGCCGAUGGCGCGCGGCUGCGGCGCACCUGGGCCCUUCAGCUGUGAUUGAUUGGCCCGCUCAUGUGGAAUGGGCCCAUCUGCCGCCCGCGCGCCGCGCGCCGUGCCCGCACAACUUCCCACUGCACCCGCAUUCCGGGUUUGAUUCCGCAUUCAAAAGGUUUCGACUUUAUCGCAAUUAAAAACGGUCGUGUCCAAUUUUUCCUUUUAAUUGUCGUUACGUUUUGGAUUGGUUUGGAACGGAAAAAUGGGAUUUUUUAAGUUGGAGAAUCAAACGGGUAGAAAAAUAUAACCAUAAAAAUACAUCCAGAACGGUAUCUAAAUAUUUGCAUAUGAAUAUAGAAAAUACUAAUAUAACCAUCUAAAAUACAUCUAGAACCUUAUAAAAUACAUAUAUAAGGAUAUAUAUAAAUAUUGAUGUAUGUAUAUGAAUAUAGAAAAUAGAAAUAUAAUCAUACAAAAUAAAUAUAGAAGCAUAGAAAAUACAUCUAGAACCAUACAAAAUACAAAUAUAAACAGAUAUAGAAAUAUUUAUAUAUGUAUAUGUAUAUAGAAAAUACCAAUAUAACCAUAUAAAAUACAUACAGAACCAUAGAAAAUACAUCUAGAACCAUAUAAAAUACAUAUAUAACCAUCUAUAUAAAUAUUUAUAUAUGAAUAUAGAAAAUACAAAUAUCAUCAUAUAAAAUACAUCUAGAACUGUAUAAAAUCCAUCUAGAACCAUAUAUAUAAAUAUUUAUAUAUGUAUAUGUAUAUAGAAAAUAUAAAUAUAACCAUAGAAAAUACAUCUAGAACCAUAUAAAAAUAUUUAUAUAUGUAUAUGUAUAUGUAUAUAGAAAAUACAAAUAUAACCAUAGAAAAUAGAAAUAUAACCAUACAAAAUACAAAUAUAAGCACAUAUAUAAAUAUUUAUAUAUGCAGAUGUAUAUAGAAAAUACGAAUAUAAGCAUAGAAAAUAGAAAUAUAACCAUAUAGAAUACAUCUAGAACCAUAUAUAGAAAUAUUCAUAUAUGUAUAUAGAAAAUACAAAUAUAAUAAUAUAAAAUACAUCUAGAACCAUAUACACAAAUAUGGGUAUAUGUAUAGAUAUAUACAGAAUACAAAUAUAACCACAGAAAAUACAAAUAUAAGCAUAUAAAAUACAUCUAGAACCAUAGAAAAUACAAAUAUAAACAUAUAUAAAAAUAUUUGUAUAUGUAUAUAGAAAAUACAAAUAUAACCAUAGAAAAUACAUACAGAACCAUAUAUAUAAAUAUUUAUAUAUGUAUAUAUAUGUAGAAAAUGCAAAUAUAAUCAUAGGAAAUACAUCUAGAACUGUAUAAAAUCCAUCUAGAACCAUCAUAUACCCAAAUAUGGGUAUAUGUAUAGAUAUAUACAGAAUCCAAAUAUCACCAUAGAAAAUAAAUAUAUCACCAUAGAAAAUACACAUAUAACCAUACAAAAUAAAUAUAUCACCAUAGAAAAUACACAUAUAACCAUAGAAAAUACACGUAUAACCAUAAACACACAUGUGGAUGUAUGUAUAGAUAAAUACAAAAUACAAAUAUCACCAUAGAAAAUAGAAAUAUAAUCAUAUCAAAUAAAUAUAUAACCAUAGAAAAUAAAUAUAUCACCAUAUAAAAGACACAUAUAACCAUAUAAAAGACACAUAUAACCAUAUAGAAGACACAUAUAACCAUAGAAAAUAGAUAUAUAAUCAUAUGUAAUAAAUAUAUAACCAUAGAAAAUAAAUAUAGAACCAUAUAAAAUACAAAUAUAACUACAUAAAAUACAAAUAGAACCAUAUAUAAAAAUGUGUAUAGAUGUAUACAUAUAUACAAAAUACAAAUAUAACCAUAUAAAAUAUCAAUAUCACCAUAUAUCCAAAUAUGGAUAUAUGGAUACACAGAUACAAAAUCCAAAUAUAACCAUAGAAAAUCCAAAUAUCACCAUAGAAAAUCCAUAUAUAAUCAUAUAAAAUAAAUAUAGAACCAUAUAAAAUACAAAUAUAAGCAUAUAAAAUCCAUAUAGAGCCAUAUAUACAAAUGUAUAUGGAUGUAUACAUAUAUACAAAAUACAAAUAUAUCCAUAUAAAAUCCAAAUAGAUGCAUAGAAAAUAAAUACAGAACCAUAGAAAAUCCAAAUAUAAGCAUAGAAAAUAAAUAUAGAACCAUAUAAAAUACAAAUAUCAUCAUAGAAAAUUAAUAUAUCACCAUAUCUCCAAAUAUGGCUAUAUGGAUACAUAUAUACAAAAUAUAAAUAGAACCAGAUAAAAUAGAGAUAUAACCAGAUGAAAUGCAAAUAUAAUCAUAUGAAAUAAAUAUAGAACCGUAUAAAAUGCAAAUAUAAGCAUAUAAAAUCCAUAUAUAACCAUAUAAAAUAUAUAUAUAACCAUAUAUCCAAAUAUGGAUAUAUGUAUACAUAUAUACAAAAUAGAAAUGUAACUAUACAAAUGAAAUACAUAACCAUAUAAAAUACAAAUAAAACCAUAGAAAAUACAAAUAUAAUCAUAUAAAAUAAAUAUAGAACCAUAGAAAAUCCAAAUAGAACCAUAUAAAAUAAAUAUAUAACCAUAUAAAAUCCAUACAGAACCAUAUAAAAUAAAUAUAUAACCAUAUAAAAUCCAUAUAGACCCAUAUAUACAAAUAUGGAUAUAUGGAUACAUGUAUAGAAAAUCCAAAUAAAACCAUAGAAAAUACAAAUAUAACCAUAUAAAAUAAAUAUAUAACCAUAUAAAAUAAAUAUAGAACCAUAGAAAAUCCAAAUAGAACCAUAUAAAAUCCAUACAGAACCAUAUAAAAUCCAUAUAGACCCAUAUAUACAAAUAUGUAUAUAUGGAUACAUGUAUAGAAAAUCCAAAUAAAACCAUGGAAAAUACAAAUAGAACCAUAUAAAAUAAAUAUAGAACCAUAUAAAAUAAAUAUAGAACCAUAGAAAAUCCAAAUAGAACCAUAUAAAAUCCAUACAGAACCAUAUAAAAUCCAAGUAGAACCAUAUAUACAAAUAUGGAUAUAUGGAUACAUGUAUAGAAAAUCCAAAUAAAACCAUGGAAAAUCCAAAUAGAACCAUAUAAAAUAAAUAUAGAACCAUAUAAAAUCCAUACAGAACCAUAUAAAAUCCAAGUAGAACCAUAUAUACAAAUAUGGAUAUGUGGAUACAUGUAUAGAAAAUCCAAAUAAAACCAUGGAAAAUACAAAUAUAACUAUAUAAAAUAAAUAUAGAACCAUAGAAAAUCCAAAUAGAACCAUAGAAAAUAAAUAUAUAACCAUAUAAAAUCCAAGUAGAACCAUAUAAAAUCCAUAUAGAACCAUAUAUCCAAAUAUGGAUAUAUGUAUACAUAUAUACAAAAUAGAAAUGUAACUAUACAAAUGAAAUACAUAACCAUAUAAAAUACAAAUAGAACCAUAUAAAAUACAAAUAGAACCAUAUAAAAUAAAUAUAGAACCAUAGAAAAUCCAUACAGAACCAUAUAAAAUAAAUAUAUAACCAUAUAAAAUCCAUACAGAACCAUAUAAAAUCCAUAUAGACCCAUAUAUACAAAUAUGGAUAUGUGGAUACUUGUAUAGAAAAUCCAAAUAAAACCAUGGAAAAUACAAUUCCCGGAAUAACAAUUGGGAUCAUUGGAAUUAGGACA